CUCCUAGAAUGCAGUGGCCUAAGACUCCACUUUGAGAGCACAAUGAGGAAAAAGCCAUCAAGGAAUCACAUUUAGAAACUCCAACUUCAGGUUUGCAUAAUCUCAAAGUAUCUCCCCAAAGAUACUUUCUAAUGAACAAGGGAAAGAUAACAACUUUAAAAUGGAGAAUCAUUGAAGACAUCUGCUUCACCAAGUGAUCAGGUUAAUACCACCAGCAAAAAGACAUACUGGCCUCCUUCUUCUCAGACACACAACCAUACUGAAAUUAGGACAAUUAAUUACCCUACAUGGCUUCUACAUGUUAAAGUGAAAAGAAGACUAACAUAUAUCUUACUUUUAAAUCAAAAGCUACAGAUGAUUAAACUUAGAGAGGAAAGCAUGUUGAAAGUCAAGGUAUUCAAGUAAAUAAUAGUAUUCAGCAGAUUCUGAAAUGAAAUCCGGAGGAUGUUUUCUGGACCACAUGUUACCACAAUUAAGGAAUAUCAUAAACAAAAUAAAAGCUAAAGUUACACUA